UACGUAGGGGGCAAGCGUUAUCCGGAUUUACUGGGUGUAAAGGGAGCGCAGACGGCAUGGCAAGUCAGAUGUGAAAGCCCGGGGCUCAACCCCGGGACUGCAUUUGAAACUGUCAGGCUGGAGUGCAGGAGAGGUAAGCGGAAUUCCUAGUGUAGCGGUGAAAUGCGUAGAUAUUAGGAGGAACACCAGUGGCGAAGGCGGCUUACUGGACUGUAACUGACGUUGAGGCUCGAAAGCGUGGGGAGCAAACAGG
rnacentral:rRNA from 1 species